rnacentral:lncRNA from 1 species
UCAAGUUCAGCGUUAGUUUAUAUGGCAGCUUAUUUAAUUAUUAUUAUUAUUUUUUUAAUCUUCAAUUGGGUGUCAUAUUUCUUUAAGCAUGAAAGGAUGAAUUUAUCCCUUGUAAGAGGAGCUGCAGCGUUGAUUGACUUUGUUGGAAGAAAAGCAAAAUUUUUCAUUUGGUUAUAAGCAUGUGAGGCGCUGAUUUUGGAUUUUAGGAGGUGUCACUCUGUGAUUAUUUUUUUACUUUUUUGUUUUUUAUUUAAUUUUAAUCUUUACUUUAAUGUUGUUUAUCUUGUUGAAUUUUCUAUUAAUUUAAUUCCCAUGCUAGCUUAAAUUAGUUUGUUUGCAUCCGUUUCUUUAUUGAGUUCUUUAAUUUUUGCAAAACAUUUUCACAAACCCCCCCUUCAUGUUAGACUCGAUUCUCGAACCACAUUUGGUCCUUGAGAGACGACU